UUUUGUUUUUCAACUUUUUUUCCUUUCUGAUUUCACUACGGGGCGGGGCUUAAAUGGCUCUCGACCAAUCACAGCCCACUCUGAGCUCUUCCUACACAGAUUUUAAUCAGACCACGCCCCUGCAAUCUCACCUGGAAAGGUCGUCGGGGACUUUCACUUUCUGAUACCGCUUGAGAGGAAUCAGACCUGCUGGUAAAGUGAGACGGCCCGCCUCGCUGCCUGGAGAAGGUCGUUGGCCACCUGCCGACACGUCUGCACGCUCACCGACUCACCUGCACCUGAACACAACAAACACUCAGACCAAUAUCAAACAGCCGCAGCUGGAACACCUGCUGGAUCUCACCUGUCUGAUAGGUGUGGGUGUCUGUCUGAGGGGGGCGGGGUCUCUCUGACACACGGGUAAAACAGGAAGUGGGUGAAGCAGAAAGAGACAAAGCAGCAGCUGAAGAAACGAGAUAAAUCCCAUCAGAGAAAGGCAGAAGGAAGGAAUCAGCUGGUGCUCCUGGAGUUACCUGGACCCAUCUGGACUUGGGGCUGCUCCACACGUGCCCCCACCCCCUCCACAACAGGACAGGUGGUAGGCAGGACUAAAGGGGGGGGGCUCAGGGUCAGUGUUUGGUUCUGAUUUGUUGGCGUGUCGUCGGCGCUGCUGCUCCAAUGGCUGGAGACAUUCUGUGAUGUCACCUGAGUGGGCGUGGCAAACAGCUGAGGACUGACACAGAAUACAUUUUAUGAUUCAAACUUUCCAAAGAUUUUCUGUACUGAAGUCCCUCGAAGACGUUUUCAGCUUGAAGCAUCUGAAGUCGGACUUGAUUCUGUCCCAUCAGGACAGGAGCUCAGGUGGACCUCCUCAGCUUCAGGCCCUUCAGAGCUGCUCUUACUUGCUGGUCGCGGUCUGGGGGUCUUCAGCGUGGACAUCUGGACCAGCAGACAGAAGAGGGUCAGAAGAGGACGGGAUGUCCUCCUGGUUCUUCUCCAGAGAGGAACUGAUGGAGGUUUCCAGAUGCGGAGAUGUCUCCUGCAGGACCCAGGUUCCUGAGCUGGCUGACCGGGUUCUGGAGGAGACGUCUGAUCGGGUCAAGAAACAAGCGGCGUGAGAAUGUGCAAACCCAGUUCCAACUCAGGCAGUCAGAGCAGUUUAACAUCAAAACACUCAAAGUUAGACGAUCGGUCAGAACGUAAAACCCGACACUGAAACAAGUAGAAGUUAAAAUGACAAAAGCGUCGCCCCGAAUACCUCGUCUAACCUACGCGGCACUUCUAUGUUUAUUUGUCCUCGUUUGUCCUUCGUUUCUUGAGCUUUUCCAUUUUAAGGUGACUCUCACCACUCCCUCAGAACCAGUCCAGUAGUUUACGGUCCUUCCAGGUGCAACAACAUCACUUCCUGUUAGCUAAACACGGCUACAGAGACGGGAAGUCUUGAUCAGCUGUGAUCAAAGUGUAGCGUCAUGAAGGUCCUCUAAUUUGUGACAAAGGUCACAUUUUCCCAGCUGGGUCAGCUGGGUCGACUGUAACUUCGCCCCACAGGUUAAACAAGCGAGGAGCCGUGAUGUCUGCUGAAAUCAUCUUUAUCUGCUGCUGUUCCGUCCCAGAUUGAAGGACAUUAAGAUCACAUUAAUAAUUUUUAAAUAAUUUUAAUAAACUCUUUGACUUUAUUACAGUUUAUACUGAACCAAGAGAUUAAUUAUGAUGAUUAUAAUAAAUUUAUUUUAAUUACUGAAAUGACUUAUGCUUUGGGUAUAAUAAUGAUUAUGGUUGAUGAUCGGUUAUGUGUGUUCAGUAAACCAGAAGGUCAUUUGCACGUAACACGCCUCACACAGAGGGUACCACAGGGUAAAAGUAAACAUCAUCACACGUCUUUAACUUAUGACCAGGGUCCGAAAUUAAAUUUUUUACUCACCGGCCAAGUUGGCUGGUAGAUGAUGAAAAUCUACCGGCCAAGCAUAUUUUUUACCGGCCAAAGUUCUAAAUGAUUUAGAUCUACCUAAAGCAUGUUAUUCUAUUUUAUGUUGAUUCCAAACAGAGUGACAAAAUAAUUAAAACUUCAAUUAAUAAGAAAAAAACUCUUGUCAUUUUUACUAUUUAUUUAUUUAUUGAGAUGUUUUUAUGAACUCUUUCAUUGAAAUCUAGUCAGACUCUUUGUUUUCUCUGUCCAUGAAGUCUGGCCUCCUGCUUCUGACACCGUCUUUGUGCCAAAGCAUUACAGCCUCAUUUGGGUGCAGGGUUGUCACGGUAACCGGUGUAGCGGUAAACCCCGGUAAAAAAGUUGACAAUGAUAACAGUCUUGUUUAAAAAAAAUUAUCUCGGUGGAUUACCGUGGCUGCGGUGUAGGCGCGGUGACCCUUACCAGCCACCGUAUCAUCUGCUGAAGUUGCCGGCGGCACAUGCGCACUUUGUUGUUUACAACCAAAACUUUCUUGAAGCUAAAGCUGAAAUAAUGGCAGGAGGAGAUGGCAGCACUCGGGACAUUUAUUAUCCCUCAAAGAAGACAAAGUCGGAAGUAUGGGCAUUUAUUGGAUAUUUGAAGAAUGCCGAGGGACAGUUGUCUGUGAAAGGCAGCAACGCUACAUGGCCAUCAUAAUGUAGCCAUUGUCUCACGACUCCGCCAUCUCCAGUUCGCCACUUUUCACAAAAUCUUCUGGUUGCCACUGGUCCUGGUGGAUUUUCUUCCAGUUCGACGAGUUUUCUUUUGGAAGGCUGGCUGACUCCAGUUAAAAACCGCCACAUUUCACCGCUAGUUUUAACAAGAAGCUAACUGCUAACUUGAUAAACUGAUUGAAUGGGAUAGGUGGAAAUGACGUUGGAUGCGGCGCUCACGUUUCGCGUACGUUGCAUGCAGGCGGGAGGAGUAUCAGAAAUCCAUCGAAGAUGACUGAUAAACAUAACUAAUUUGGUGCAAACAUUUACUCGCCAAAUGGAGCAAUUUGCUCGCAUUUGGCGAGUGUUAAUUUCGGACCCUGCUCAUGACCAAAGCUUUCUUGCUCUGAGUGGGCGUGUUCUGAAGGGUUUGUUAAAACUAACUUUCCAGCAGCAAAACUUCAGUUCGUGAACCAACCACCAUCACAGGAGACAAGGGAACGGCCGCCCGAAUCUCCACCUGCUGUUCUGUCACGCUGAUAGAAUAGUUUGAAUAAACGCACGAUAACCAGCUGACGCAAAACUCCUUCAGAGUUAUUGAUUUUGAGACGCAAAUAGUUUCAUCAGUCGUGUGACCCACGGAGACAUCCCAGGACUGAUUUGGUCGCAUUGGGGUCCUUCUACCAACCUCGUGCCCGGAAGAAAUCAUCUCCACCUGACAUCUCGGAUCCAGGAGGGAGUCUGCUGAAACUGGGUGAGGUGGACACUUUCGACAGAUGACGUCUGAUGCUGUUUCUCUAAGUAACAACAGUUAGCUGCAAAACCAUCAUUUCAACCCAGAACGCGCUUCUCUCUCUGAAAGAAACCUUCUGAGAACAUUCACGCAUCCAAACUCGUAUUUCAAUUUGGCUUUCAUUCAGUCACAGGUUUGCCUUUAAAACAAGUUUAAUAUCAAAGCUGGUAAAUUGUCGUCCAUGAAUUUAUUUAAUUGUCAUUUCUGAAUUGUUGUUUCAAAUCGUCAAGUUUAAAAUUGUUAGUAAUAAAUUCUUCAUUUUUAAACUUUGCCUCAUUCUUGAAAUGAAACACAGAAUGGUGUUUAUUUUUGGUUAAUGAAAAAGCAAAGUGUUGGGUAUUUUUAUAAUUGUACCUUUUUGAGGCCUAAAAGAUGGCCUACUGUUGCUGUUCAUGAAAGGUUGAGCAAGGAUGUUGAUUGUAAGAAAACUGUACCUCUGUAACCUGAGAAGGCCCGCCUUCUCCCCCAUCCUUGGUGAAUAAAGCCCCUGACGAACUAGGAGCACACGGGAGUGACGUGGGGAAGCCUCGGAGGAGGUUUCUCUGCAUCAACUCUCCAUGUUUUGGGGACUCAGGGUAAAAUGUC